CUUGUACUUUCACCGGUGGGCAGGCCAGUGCUCGCUAAUGUUAUCUUUUACAAGUGAGACAACUCUCGAUCCAAAAUGGCGGCGACCGAACGACGGAAGUCGUAUCAGGGAGCAGGGCAAUGGCUGGAUUGCCAAAAUGGUUCCAUUACUUCCAGCACAACAGUGCGGGUCCCUGUCAUCACCAGUCUGGUGACUGUCCUGUAGUCCAGGUAGAGAACACACUGGCCAUUCACCUGACACACAAACUGCCGCACCUAAGGAACAGGAGCAACUGCUGCGGGGCUUCCAGGGUCAACAGCCUGCACGUAACAAGGAGCCACGCCUCUGACAACAAAGCCCCAGCCCAGGGCAUCUCCUAUCACCUGUGAUGGUCGGAGGGAUUGCAUCUCACCACUGACGAUGAAGACUGGGCGAGAGGUGGGAAUCCAGCUGAGUGAAGCUGAAGGGAAUUCAAGCUGCCUCGACGCCCACUGGUAACCUGUUUCAGACUGAAAAGCGCUGUUGCCCUCCUGAGGUUGGCUUUUGCGCAGAACAAAUGGACUUUCAGGAUGGGUGUCCUCGGGUGUCGACACUGCCACUCCUUCGUCUUCGUCUCGUUCGCUUUCAUUUAAAAGCGCAGAUAGACGGCGACGGCGGCGGAAAUUGAUGCAGAACUGAUAGAGCAGUCCGCUGUCAAAGAAGUCAUGUUUCUUUGCCACUAGUGAUGGGAGUGCAAGAGAGCACAAAACAACAGGUCUCACAUUAAUGGGGUGUCUCACAAAGAGUUGAUCAGUAUAUAUGCUUUAGAUUGCAAAAGUCCCAGCUAGCCAUCCACUGCAUGCAGCCACCGGCUGCAGACUCAUUGCUGUUGCCAUACAUCAAAGGGGCAAAUGAGGACGCUCCUCACCGUGCUGAAUGAUGCCAUGCUCCUGCAAUGUGCGGCACAGCUCCAGUCCCCGGCGCCGGGACUCUGCCUCUGCAUUCUGAAGGAGCCAGUCAAUCAACUGGCAGCCGGGAAAGGAGCGCCGAUAUGCAACGCCAUGCUCCUCUCUCAGCUGCAGAAUGGAGUUUUUGUCUGCUAUGAGCCUGAAGAGCACAAAUCAAAUGCUUCAUAACAUGCAAAUGACAUUUGAGAAAUACUGAAAGCAGCAUUUCUGCAAAUUACAAAUAUAUACUGUGUUGCUUUGUGUGAAAUUGUAACCUCAUCCUAUCCUGAUCAACUCAGUGUGUGUGAGCAUGACUGUGACUGACAUUGCAUUUCAAGGUUAGCUGUUGAAACAGGAGAAUCACAGUGUAAGACAAACAGCAGCUCUUACUGUUCAUAUAGUUGUUGUCCUCGCAUGAAGAUUUUCACCUCUGUACUGAAGGGAAAUGUGCCAUCGUCUUUGCGGAAACGGUACAGCAGUUUGGCAUCCUUGAAGACUGGCCUCUUAUCACACACUGAGAAAAGGCAACACACAGUUUCAAACGACUUCUUUAAUCAGAGAGUCUGUAAAUAAAAGUACAAUCACAUUUUUUCUCUCAA